UAUGAUCGGACCUGCAAGGUGUGGGA
rnacentral:piRNA from 1 species